rfam:Stegodyphus mimosarum contig103390, whole genome shotgun sequence.
AUACUUACUUGGUGUCGGAGAUGGCUUGAUCAAGAAGGAGGCUCUCCUGGUCGGAGGAUGUCCAUUGCACAUCGGGCUACUGACGGCUAUCGCUUCCACAAAGUGUGGUUGUUUGGGGCGCGUAAUUUUUGGUAGUCGGGACUGCGUUCGCGCCGAUCCCGG